rnacentral:rRNA from 1 species
CAUGCAAGUCGAACGCACUCUCGUUUAGAUUGAAGGAGCUUGCUCCUGAUUGAUAAACAUUUGAGUGAGGUGGCGGACGGGUGAGUAACACGUGGGUAACCUGCCUAAAGUGGGGAUAACAUUUGGAAACAGAUGCUAAUACCGCAUAAAACCUAACACCGCAUGGUGUAGGGUUGAAAGAUGGUUUCGGCUAUCACUUUAGGAUGGACCCGCGGUGCAUUAGUUAGUUGGUGAGGUAAAGGCUCACCAAGACCGUGAUGCAUAGCCGACCUGAGAGGGUAAUCGGCCACACUGGGACUGAGACACGGCCCAGACUCCUACGGGAGGCAGCAGUAGGGAAUCUUCCACAAUGGACGAAAGUCUGAUGGAGCAACGCCGCGUGAGUGAAGAAGGUUUUCGGAUCGUAAAACUCUGUUGUUGGAGAAGAAUGUAUCUGAUAGUAACUGAUCAGGUAGUGACGGUAUCCAACCAGAAAGCCACGGCUAACUACGUG